GAACCCUCGAAGGCUCAAAAGAAGCUUGGAAUUUCUUAAUAGGAAACCCACAUUAUUCUAGGUCCUUAAAAUUAUUUUGAGGAACCAGAAUUCUAGCUUAAUUUUGUUCGAGGUGGAAGUCAAGCUUUCCAACUCAUCAUCCUGGUUCACUGUCCCAAAAAAGGUAAAAACUAUCUUUGAUUUAGUUCGUCGCCUUUUUCUUCUUCAUCCUAUUUUCUUCUUUGUAUCAUUCAUAAUCAUAAUAAUGAUGGGAUUAUUUCUUCUAGAAAUCUUUGAAAGUCAAAGAUUUAUGUUCUGGCGAAAAUGAAAUGGUUGAAUUGAUUCAUGGAUUUUAUUGUUAUUAUCAAGAUUUCUUUAUGAAUUUUUUUAUUCCAAUUAUAGUCUACAGUUUGUCUUUCGGAGUUAGUGUAAUAGUGGAUAUGUUUUAUUUGAGCUUGGGAGCAACUGUUAAUUGCAUUAUGUGAAAAGUUUUAAAUUUUAGAAAUUAUUUGUGUGGAUUUGAAGUUGGUGCCUCGCCGAACAUGAAAAAGAAUCUAUCAAACUAAUGAUUCUGUCCUCAUAAACUGCACAACUUAUCCAUGUCGUUAUAUGAUAUUUCUUUUCAUUUUUUUAAUUAGUUAUGAUUAGAUAAUUCAUGAAGUAAUUGAUGUUUCCCUACUCAACUAGCUCAAUGUUGAUGUUUUGAUAUUGUGAAAAAUAUUUUGAUUUUAUUUUAUUGUCUAAGGUUAAAUGAUGAAACCUUUCCUGCCUGGUGAGAUUUAGGAGUAUUUGAAAUUGGUUAGUAGACAUGUCACUAUAUUUCUCUUGAUGAAAUUGGUUAGUAGACUUGUCGUUAUAUUUUGCUUAAUAUAUUUAUAAGAGGAAAUAGCUUUGUAGAUCGAUUAAUAUUGUGAUUCACUCACUUUUCUAAAAGCUAAGAAAUUUUCAAAGAUUUUCUUGGCUUACGCCAAGGAGGGGAUUAAGUGUUUUUCUAGUUCGUAUUAAGUUUUGUUCUUGUUGUUAAUUUUAGCCUAAAGCUGGGAAGACCAUAAUCUAUGUUCAUAGUAAAAGUGAUCUUUAGCUUUUGUAUUGAUUGGAACACUUGGUUAAUCUUCUCCUUGGAUAUAAUCAAAUGGAUUUUAAUAAUUCUCCCGGAAUAUGCAGAGAAUCAUCAGUCUUUUCUGUAUGUUUUUUUUAUUUCUUCAUUUCUUCAUCCUUCCAUAUGGCUAAGUUGUGAAUUUAUUCAUAUAAUAAUUAUGAUUAGUAAAUAUUCACCUCCUCUUAAAAACUUUAAUAUAAUUCUAAAAGAUAAUUGUUGUUAUUAAUUGUAUUAGAACUCGUGAUAAUGGUGGGGACUGAUCCUUAUUCUUCUCUUUUCUAUUUUUUUGCAUGAAUUGGAGUCCACAUGGACUCCUUUCCCUCUUGCAUCUCUUUGAGUUCAAGCCUCAAUCAAAGUUCAAAAAAUACUUAUUUUUAAAUAAAUAAGGUUGUAUACAAAGGAAUACAGUAAAUAUACGUAGCAUAUAGGUGAUAUACUAGAAAAGGAAUGCUAAUAUUCAGUUCGAGGAAUCAAAGGAUGUGUAUAUAACUGAUUUUCAGUCAUAUCUACAUAAAUUAUACCCAAUAACACAAGGAUAAAGGGAGCUAAUAUACUGUGGAUAUACAACUCAAAAAAGGCUAAAAAAUGGUCCAUUAAAAUGGGCCCAAAGCUGGAUAGAAUUGAAAAUUGGCUAAAAAGGGGCCCAAUUCUCAUCUUUUUGCAUUAUUUACUUGUAUUUAAUUAAUUAUUUAUUUGUAAUUUAAUUUAAUCUAGAUGAAUCCUCGGGGAGUAAGUUUAUAUUAAAUUAUUUCAUCUUAUUUUGAUCAUACUAUAUUGUAAUUCGCUCUAUUAGGCAAACUUAAGCUCGUAGACAUUUAAGAAGUUGGGUUAAUCAUUUAGCCCAAAUUCUUAAUUCGGAUCAAUGUGUUAAAGUUAGAAAUAUUUUGAAACCUUGAUGUUUUAUUUUAUCACUUAGUAAAUUAAAUAAAUUAGUAUCCAAUAAAUUCUAUAUAUUCAAAAUAAGGGUUUUAAAAAAAAAUUCAAGAUUUUAAUAGGAUUUUUUCAAAUAACUUAAGAACUUUUUUCAAAAUUAGUCAAAUAAGUUUAAUCCGUCGGGAACCACACAUUGUAAAUUUUCGAAAGUGUCAAAUACCUUCUUUGAAAUUUACUUGAAACCUUACCUAGACUCUGAUUAUUUUUAAAAGGUUCUCUUUAAAACUAUUUUUUUAAAUGAUUUCUUAAUUCCUAAAAUUAAGUGGAGACUCUAAAUUAUUUUUCAAAAUUAAAUCAAAUAGAUUAACCUUUCUUUUUUUUUUUUUGCCACGAAGUUAUGAAACGUUUUUGACUAGUUUCGAAAAUAAAUCGUAAUAGUUUGUCGCUAAUAUAAUGCCAUAUCUAUAUUCCUUUAUGUCAUAUUAUUGUUCUCCAUAGAUACACACGGUUGGUUUUCCAGUGUUAAAAUUGGAGGGGGCUGAUAUUUUUUAGCUAAAUUUGAUGAUUGGUUGCCAUAAGUGUCUUAGGUUUCUCCUGGUUAAGAAUCGUGUGUUGUUUAGUUAUGUUUUAUUUCCUAAGGACAUGCAGAUAUUCUAAGUUAAGGUUUUGAUGUGCUAUGAUUUCAUAGCACUUUCGACGCUUAAAACUUCAAAAAUAUGUAGUUACUUAGGUUAUUUUAUUAGAUAUGAUGUGUUUUGUGUUAGGUUUUUAGGAAAUCAGGUUUUGAGAGCUAAACAAAAGAAAAUAAAAAGUGAAUAUUGAAGUUUUGGACCACAUACGUGGGCACCUACGAACCAUAGAUACUAUCUACAUGGCGUAGGAGCCAGAACAAGAAUCAAGAAUUUGAUUUUCAGAGAUUCAAAAGUUGAGAUUUUUGCCCUACUACCUACGAUGGGGUACCUAUGACCUGUAGGUACCACCUAUGGCCUGUAGGUGCCAGAAUAAGUGCUAGUAUUGAAGAUUCAUAGAGAUCCUACAAAAAUUUAGGAGGCAGUCACCUACAUGGAGCCACCUACGGACUGUAGGUGCAACCUACGACUCAUAAGUAGCACCGUAGGUGGCGACCGACUCUAGUUUAUCACUUUUGUUUUGGAAAGGUUUCCAAGGUUUUCCAUGCAAUUUAUUACUUAGUUUACAUACUUAUACUAUUCAUAAGUUAUUUUGAUUCCGAGAUUGGGUUUUGAUCUUGGGAUUCUUGUAUUCUAAGUUUUUGGUUGAUUUAUUGAUUUGGGACUUUAAGUUUUCUUUAUCUAUAAUUGUGAGAUUAUUUCUAUGAUUUCAUUUAUGAAUUUCAUGGAUUGUUCCACAACUAUGAGCGGCCAAUUCCCUUACCUAGGCCUUUUGGAACCUGGCUAUAUAACAAAGUAAAGGAAGUGCAACGUUGUCCCAAACCAAUAUUCUUGCAUGUAUUGUGAUCAUCUUCAGUUUAAUUUCUUUCUCAAUGGUUGUAAACAUUAAGAACCCGCCUGUAUUCACUACUUACUUUAAAAGAGAGGUAGAGAUUAGGAAAAGAAGAUCAUGGUAGUGAUUUGAGAUUAUCCUCCAUCUUAUAAUUCCACCAUUUCAUCCAAUUAACUUGAGACUCAAAAGGUAAAAGUUAAUCUUUGAUUUGGGAUAAGGUUUAGUAAGGUGAUACUCUGAGACUCAAAAGGUAAAGAGUGAAAUUCAUUAAAUGCGUUCACAAGACAGUUAGUGAUACAUAACUUAUCAAAUUCUGCAUGCAAGAUAUUGGGUUAGUUCAAUGGAGCACAAUAAACCUACAGAGCUAUGAAGGCAGGGGAAUAUAUUCCUUGUGUUCGUUUCAAAUAUUUUACAACCAAGAGCAUUUGAGUUUUGUUACUCUCUAUGGAUUAUAAAAAUUCCUCCCGUUUAAUUUUCUGCACUGUCGGUGAUUUUAGCAAGUUGUGAAAUAGUUCUAACCUAUUCCCAAUGGAUAUUAUACUUCUAAUGAGGUGUAGUUUUGGGGGACAUCAAAAUUUUGGUGUCGUUGUCGAGAAAUACUGUUGUGAUUUACUGAUUGAAGUUGUUGAAGUUUUUGAGUUUUAUUUUUUUGUUCUUAUGGGGGCAUACUCUAAUGUUUUCCUAGCACAAGGAUUCAAGGCAAUCCCUUACUCUCAAUUAAUCCUGAAUUUGAAAGAGUCCUAUAGCCGAAUUGAAGGAUAUUAGAAUAUGGAUGAAAAGGUGAGCUUGGAGGGGUUCAGAAUAACCCAAAUAAUUUGUCUCCCCUUCCACCUGGUAGAAGACUAUAGAUUAAACUAUUGAUAGGUUAUUAGCAAAAUCUAAUGUGGCUAAGAAUAAUAACGCUCGUCGUAUAGCUUAUGAGGUAGAGUUGGCAAGUCACGGAUAAAGAAUUAAUCAUCGAGCAAAACUUAAUGGAAAUCAAGAUAGAGGUAGAAGGGUAAAGCUCAAGUACUCCCAUCCUACCAGUACUUCCCACUAUAUGAUGAACCGGUAGAAGACUUGGGAUACGUUGAGCCUACUGAGACAAGAGUUAUUAUUUCUUCUAUAAUGCCAUUGAAUGUGAAGUUUGAUAUCACUAGUGCCAUGUCCAGCUGUUGAAUCAAAAUGGAGUGUUUGCGGGCUUGCCAACUGAUGAUGUAAACACGCACAUUAUAAAUUUUAUUGGGAUUUGCACAUCAUACACUAUAUCAAGGGUAGAUUAAGAAGCUCUAAGGCUCAAUUUGUUCCUUUUCUCUCUAAUAGGUGAAGCAACAUUAUUGUUAGGGGAACUUGCUCGUGGGUCUAUUACUACUUGGAAUGAGUUGCCGAGGCAAUUUUUAGAUUCUUUAAUUCCCUUAUCCAGAAUUCUACGAUUGAAGGAAGAGAUGUAUAAUUUCAAGCGGUUAUACUCUAAAUCAAUGUACGAGAUAUGGUUUUGAUUUAAGAAGAAGUUGAUAAUGGUGCCGAAUCAUAAAAUUACAGGAAACUUAAUUGAGAUAAUAUAUGGAGCCCUUAACACCAGUUCUAAAGCUAUGGCAGAUACUAUUACUGGUGGAGCAUUUACGUGUCUGAAUUGAAAGGCAGAGAGAGGCACUGACACUUACGCUAUUGGGUCUUCCAGUGAACACAGAGUUGCUGAUGACACCGUGGAGCAAGAGUUUGCUUAGAUAAGGACAGAAGUUGGGUUAUUAAGAAAGCAGUUCACAGCAAUGAAUUUUGAAAAGGUGAGUAAAGUUGGUACAUAGGGAAAGGCCUCUAGAUAAUAUGAUUUUGAUUUAGAAGAAAAGGCAAAAUAUCUAGAUAGAGGGUUGGUGGGUUUUUUAGCCAAGGAAAAAGGGAACCAAGGUCAAAAUUACUAUAGGGAUUGGAAUAAAGAUCAUACCCGAGAGAGGACAGUGACUGAAGAUGCAAAGAUGAUUACAAAUUAAAGUGUGAUGUAUAUGUUCCACCAGGCAGUCGUGAUAGUUAAUCAAGGAUGGAAGUUACAUUGUAAAGCUAGUAAAGGGUCAAGAAAAUCAAGAAAAUUGCCUUAAGGAGAUUAAGGUAGAAAUUUUAGGGUUGACCUAGAAGGUAGAAUCAUAUGCCACUAUAAUCAAGCAAUUACAGCAGCAGUUCGGACAAAUGCUAGAGAUCUUCAAUCAACGAAAAUCGGGCACCCUUCCAAGCAAUACAGUGCAAAAUCCUAAGAAGAAUGGUCACUGUUUAUCCAUCACCACUCAAAGUGGUAAGGCAACUAUUUAUUCCCUUAUGCCUGUGGUUUAUGAGUCAAGGAAUGAUAGUGUUGAUGUCGAUGAACACCUCAAGUAGAAUUAGAGAAGUUGGUGUAAUGGCCCUCUAGGUUAUUUCCUUAAUUUGCAUGAUUUUUUGGAAUUUUGAGCUUUCCUACAGCAGUUAUAGAUUAUUUAUAACUUGUCGGAACUAUCAGUUUAGUUAUCAGACAGUUCAUUUAGAUUUUAGGCUCAUUUCCAUGUUUUAGAGCUUUUGUUAUUUAGGAUUUGGUGUGAAACCAAAACUCCUAGUAUAUAGCCUUAUACGAGAAUUUCAAUAGAUUCAUCAGCUCAAAAACAUUGAUUUUAGGCCAGGUGGCUUCUUGGUUCAGGUCUCAAGGCACCUGGGCUUAUUUGACCUAUUGGUCAAAAAGUUAAAAAAUCAAAAAUUGGGUGUGAGACCCAUAUUUCAUCAAAAUAAACCUAGAUAGAAAUUUUGAAUAUGCCAUUGAGUUUGAAACAUUGAAUUUGGUGUGAUUACAUAGUUUGUUUGCGUUUACGGGAUUCCUUAUGAAUCCCAAGGGCUUGGCAGAGACUUGAAAAAUUCUAAGUCUACUAUUGUAUCUGGUGCAUUGCAAUCGCGAGCCAAAGGUUUCAAUCUUGAUACCCUUUGAAGGCCCCAAGCUUUACGAUCAGGAUUCACUGGUGUAGCCAUAAGAUGUGGCUAUUGCGAAUAUUGGGUCGGGAUUGCGAGACCUAAAAGCCUGGUAUGAAAAUAAAUACCCCAUUUCAGUCUGUUUUUACCAUUUUCUUAUCCAUUUCAGAGAGAACUAAAUCCUAGAAGUUGAGAGAUCUUGGGAUUCAAGUUUGUAGAUGAUUUGGAGAUCUUGGUUAUCGAUUAUUUCAUGAUUUUCCUUCGAAAUCAUGGUAAGAUUCUUACAAUUUUUUGAUAAAUUCUUAGAAAUUAGGGAUUUGAAUUUUAAACUUUAAGGGUUGAUUUGAUACCCGAUUUGUGCUUUGUUUGUGCUCAACUUUUGAAAACAGCAUCCUUGUCCUUCAAGGUACCUCAUGGUGGUCCUGUGGGCCUAUUCUUGACCAAAAAUUUGACCUGACCUUUUAUAUAGAAAUAUGGGUCUAUUUUGACUUCUAAUGAUGCUUAUAUUAUUAUUUUGAUAGCUUUAUUGAAUUUUGAGAUCGUGGAGUAAAGAUAGAUAUUUUAUGGAUAAUUUAAUAAUUUACGGCUUGGCUUCGAGGUAGGCUUAUGUCUACUCUUCUUUACAAGAUUAUGUGUUUUAUAUACUGCAUGUGAAUAUGAAUGUUAAGAUUGAUUAUGGGUAGAACACCAUGACUUAGUCUUGAUUAUUGAGGUUUGAGGAUUAGAUAGGUGAAUUGACUCGUACGAUAAAAUGCUUAUUUCUCUUUUAGGAUCAUAUUGCUUUAUUCAUAGAUUAAGCUAAUUUAUAGAAUGAUUGUGCUAUUAUGUAAGAUUAGGAAUAUAGCUUAAGUGUUGGAAGAGUGAUUAGUAUGAAUAUCCUUAUGUGAACUAUUUAGCAACCUUCAAAUCGUAAUUUAUGUGGAGUUGACUAAAUUGCUCAUGUGCUAGGUGGAAUUCCUAUCUUAGGGAUAAUUAUGGCUUAUGUACCAUCCAAAAGUCAAUUUACAUAUCUCUUCCUAGUCCGAGGUAUAAAUUGCCUAAAUAUGGAAUUCAAGAAUUAGAAGUGGAUUCUUUCAGCCCACCUUAGGCCAAGACUUGUGUUAGCUCUUGUGGACUUAUUUAUGCAUGUAAGACAUAGUCGAGAUUAUUGAGCCUUUAGUAUAAGGUUACUUCAUGACUUAGUGAAUGAUGAUGGUUUUUCCAAAUUAUGAUUAAUGGCUUGUAGCUAUAAUAGGACUUUCGAACUUGAUUUAUGAUAUGGCCUAUUGACAUGCUUAAUAAUAUAGGCGUAGACAUAGUUAAGAUAUGGCCUAUAGAUAUGAGAUGCCUUAUAGAUAUGAUAUACCUCAUAGUAAAGAUAUAUGGCCUAUAUAUAUAAGAUACCUUAUAGAUAUGAUAUGCCUCAUAGUUAUGAUAUAUGGCCUAUAGCUAUGAGAUGUUUUAGAGAUAUGAUAUGCAUUAGUUAUGAUAGAUGGCCUAUAGGUAUGAUAUGCCUCAUAGUUAUGAUAUAUAACCUAUAGAUAUAAGAUGUCUUAUAGAUAUGAUAUGCCUCAUAGUUAUAAUAUAUGGCCUAUAGAUAUGAGAUUUCUUAUAGACAUGAUAUUCCUCGUAGUUAUGAUAUAUGGCCUAUAAAUAUGAGAUAACUUAUAGACAUGAUAUGCCUUAUGGAUAUAAUAUGGCUUAUAGAUAUGAUACGCCUCAUAGAUAUCAUAUGGCUUAUAGAUAUGAGUCGCCUUACAGAUAUGAUUAUUGAUAUAAGUUUCGGAUAUGUAUGUGGGCCUAGGGUUGUGAUUAUGAUGUUGUAAUUAUUCCAAACACAUUAUUGGGCCCAAGUUCAUGUUAUGAUUUUUGUUGGACAUCUGGAAAGUGUUUAUCCUUGUAAAGGAUGUGGCUAUAGUUUAUAGUUAUAUUGAUGCUUAUGGUUCCAUUGUUUGAAUACUGGUGAUGGAAUGCAUAGAUUUGAUAUAUUCAUGAUCAUUAAAUCAGUAAAUCACACGAUUCCAACUAAAAUAUGAUUUUAUUAUGAUUUUUCAUAAAUAGGGGUUAAAACCCACUUUUCACAUUAAAGUGGACUUCGUCAUAAAAAUAAUUGCACCAUUUUAAUGAAUAACCUAUGUGUAAUGAGAUUUGGAAAUAAUGUUUAAAAGAUUUGAUAGAGAUAAAUUCUAAUCAAUGAUUCUGAUACUAUUAUUUACUUCGAUCGAGAGAAAUUCUGAAUCUUUCUACACUUUUGUAAUGAUUGAGUCCCAAAGUUUAUCCCAGGCAAUGGAUUUAUGGAUUUACACUCUUUUUAUCCACAUCUUAAGUCUGUGCACCUAUAUAUAUCUAUAUACACAUCUCUUCGAUAUGGGACAGAGGAGGAGAAUGGUAUUGAUGAUAUGAAUUUUGAGUAAAACUUGAUGAUAAAUUAUAGUAUUGAUCUUAUAAAUAUAUGUGUGUGUGUUAAUGUUAUGCUUAUAGACCCGGCACGGCCAGAGGAUGAUUAUGAUGAUAUGUUAUAUGCCCGGCAAGGCCGAAGGAUGAUUAUGAUGAUAUGCUUAUAUCCCAUCAAGACCAUAGGAUAAUUAUGAUGAUAUUCUUAUAUACCCAGCAAGGCUGUAGGAUGAUCAUGAUGAUAUGAUUAUAUAACCUACAAGGCCAAAAGGUGAUUAUGAUGAUAUACUUAUAUGCCCGACAAGGCUGAAAAAUGAUUAUGAUGAUAUGCUUAUAUGUCCAACAAGGAUGGAAAAUGAUUAUGAUGAUAUGCUUAUAUGCUUGGAAAGGUUGGGGGAUGAUUAUGAUGAUGCAAAUAUUUGUACAUUUACCAGUUUGAGUUUGAGUACUUAUUAUGAUAUUUAGAUUGGUUAUUGUGUUAUAAAUUAUAUCUUAUCAUUAAUUCUUACAUGCGCAUUGUCUAUCACCAGUAUGCACCUAUAUCUAUCAGCCUUAUGGAGGGUUGCAUAGGUAUGGGUGACGAGUAUGACCUGUGUUUUAUUGUAUGUUAAUUGAACCUUCUGAGCCUAGGGCAGCGGAGGUUUGUAAAAGGCUCGGUUAGGUAUUAUUUGUCUGGACUCGCCGGUUACUCGCAUUGUUAUUGCUAUUAUUAUUACUAUUGUUAUGACUGUUUGGGUAGCUUUGUUAACGAUCCAAUACUGAGAUAUGAGGUAUGAUUCUAGCUCUUUCAUCAUACAAUUAUGUAAUUUUUCAUGAUUUACUCAUGAUUAGAUGUAUGGAUUAAAAACCCUGAGUACGCUAGCACUAGUUGCUGUUGUGAUUAUGAGGUCUUAAGAUGUUAGUCUAAUGAUUUAAGUUGUACCUUAAAAUGACCUUGUUUAUAUAUAUAUGUAUAUCUAUUUAUAUGUAUCUAUGGUAUUAGCAUAUAUCCCUCUCUUUCUUUACUUAUUCAAAUUGUAUAUUAAUUUCUUGGCCUUGUAUAUUGUUAUAUAUCUUUUUUUGCCUCUAUUUAUAUUUUGGCUAGUGAUAUACAGUAUAGUGUUGAGACUCCUGAGUAUGGCUGGAAUAGGUAGCCCAUCCUUAAUACUUCCUCAGCCUUAUUAAGUUAGUUUCUUGGAUAUGAGUAGGGUAGUUUGCCCUUACUAUAUCACAAGAUAUAUUAUAUGGUUGCUGAACAUUUGGGUUUAGACUCCAUUUCUAUUUAUAUAUUGUAUAUAUCUGCAUUAUCUUUGGAGCUCAAUAGGCAGUUGCCUACUGAGUACCACGUAUUUGGUACUCAUACUACAUUUUUGCAACCUGUAGAUCAUAGUACGAGUUAUCAUUAGUGUUGUGUGCAUCGUGCGGAGUAGCCAUGGUUAGGAGACAUAGUGUGAUCUUCUAAUGUUUAGAGUAUUAGCUUCCUCCGUCUUAUGUACUAAACAAGUCUCUAUGUUGUAUUCAGAGAUGGUUGUAUUUGUAUAUUCAUUUAGUACCUCAUUUAUAUCCUCAUUGAUAGUAGAAGCUCUUGUACUAAUUUCACUAGUUUUUCAUUUUAUCUUAUUAUGUUAGUCUUUUAUUGCAUCUAUUCCAUAUUCUCCUUAUUUUUUUAGUAGGCCGUUACUAGUAGUUCUGGACUACGGGGUUGGCUUGCCUACUGGUGGGUCAUAUUAGGCACCAUCAUGACCUAAGAAAUUAGGUCGUGACAAUUGGUGACUAAUGCUGAGUCAUUACAACUAUUAAUAGGUGGUGAUCAUAGUACUGAGGAGGAUGAAGGUUAGGGAAAGGUCGAUGAACCAAUAGUGAAGACUAUUCCAUGACCUCCCCCAUCUUUUCCUCAUAUGUUGAAUUAGAAAAAAAAAAAGGGGAGUUCAAAAAGUUUAUUUCUAUGUUAAAUUAAUUUAGUUUGAAUAUCUAUCUUCUUGAAGCUCUCGAGUAGAUGCCUGAGUAAGCAAAAUUUAUGAAAGAUUUGAUGACAAAGAAGUGAGUUGUUAGUUAUUAGAAUCUUGGUGGGUUAUAUCAUUGUAGUGUGAUUACUUCAUGAUCUCUAGAGCAAAAGAAGAGUGAUCUUGGAGCAUUCAUGAUCCCAUGCACCAUUAGAACAUCUAGAUUUGCCAAAGCAUUGUAUGACUUGGGUGUCAGCAUUAACUUGAUAUCGUUGGAUCUGUUCAAAUAGUUGGACUUGAGACCUUCUAAAACAACAGUGAUGAAGUUGUUAAUGGUGGACCGCAUAAUGAAAAAUCCCGUAGGCAGAUCAUUUGAUGUAAUGGUGAAAGUAGAAAACUUCAUCUUUUCAGCUGAAUUUGUUAUUUUAGAUUGUAAAGUUAACUUUGAGAUUCCCAUAAUCUUGGGAAGACCAUUUUUUGCCAUGGCUAGAGAAUUACGGUAUAUGGAGAAGGGGGAGCUUAAGUUUAGGUUGAAUGAUGAGGAUGUCACCUUCAAUAUUCACAAAAUCAUGAGGCAACCGACUGACAUGAGGGUGGACUCAGUAAUAAAUUGUGCUAAUGACCCUAGAGGCCACUUCUAUGGUUACCUUGAGGAAUCUGAGUAACCAAGGUACCCGCGUCGUGCUGCGACGUUAAAUCAAGCGUUGCAUAGGAGGUAACCCAUGGACUUGUUGAUGAAGUCUUAGUAACCAUCAUAGCCAUGUCGUGCCGUGACGUUAAAUCAAGCACUGGGUGGGAAGCAACCCACUAUUUUAGAGUUCAUGCUGUUUUUCUUUUUUAUAGGUGUACAACAUAAGGAACAACCUAGAACAUGGUAAAACAUUGCUAAAUUCAGUAAAUUCCAGGUAAGGAGACUUAUUGACCCACCUAUGGGGGUCAUAAGCCCCACUUGGACCAGGUAAGUUGUGCAAUAAAUGUUAGAUGGAAAUUUGGAGAAAUUUUUAGGUCUUUUAACUUUUACCUAAGAACCUACUUAUGAUGUUGUAAAUACCACUUGCAACCUCGUAAGUGGUGUCUUAGAUGUCAUAACACAAAUUUUAGAGGACCAGAAAAAAACCUGCUACCUACGCCCUGCCACCUACGGGCCGUAGGUAGCAAUUAUGGAUCGUAAGUGGCUCCAUAGGUGGCAGUAUUUAUGGGCCCAAUUUUAAAAAAAAAUUACGCCUACCUUGACCUAACUCUACCCAAAAUUGGCCUACCAACCAUUUUAAAAGCUCAGAAACCGGUUCAUUAGCCUUAUAAUCCUCAAAUUUCCAACUCCCUCCAAAAUUUAAACUCACCAACUUCCUCUCAAAUUCUAUAAAAAGAAAGACUCAUCCCUCAAUCCAUCAUUUGGCGUAAACACUUUCCAAUGCUAGGGUUUCAACACUUCUUCAAAUUUAUACCUCCAUUUCUUAAAAUCAAAGGUAAAUUUCUUGGCUCCCAUUAGUAAAUUCUUGUGCUUAAUUAAAAGUAAGUCAGUUGGUAUGCGUAUUUGCUUGCAAAUUAUGUAAAAAUCAACAAACUUAUAGUUAGGAUCCUAGAAUAAUCAAGAAGUUGAAAUGGGGCAUCUCUCUUGAAUUAAAACUAUGUGAUCAUUCCUCAAAUAUAAGUAGAAGUUGAAAAGGUUGAGGAAACCCAAAAGUCUUGUGUGCCAUACCUUUGUUUUGAUAAUUAUUUCCAGUUGUGUGUGAAAAAUUGGACUAAAAUAUGCUGAUUACACUAUAUAGGGAUGUAAAAUUUGGGAAAAAUACAAAGUUUGACAAUUUUGAUUUUUUUUAAUUUUAAACUCUCUUAUCUUUUUUCCAGCACUAAUACUUGCUUUUUCAGGUACUGUGGCACCAAAGGCUCCGAUAAAGAUGGCAGGGAAGUCAAGACAUUGGGAUGAUUCCCUUGAGAGUAGUGGCUUAAUGGAGGAGUACCCGAUUGUCCCAGACAAACCAACAGCCCCACAGACUAGGAACCAGAGAUAGGCUGCAGCUGAGUUUAUUAUUGUAUCCACCCUGGGUAUUAGCUACUAGAAUGAACAUAUUGGGGCACUCAACCCGAAUCUACAUAGGAUAAAUCCCCAUGCAGCUUCUCUUCUACAAGUUCUUAGGCCAAGUAUGAAUUCAUCCAGUACUUCACCCCCCAUAUUCUCCCCAGUCUAAAGAGGAAGGAGAGGUUUUAAAGCUGGAGGGUGAGUUUGAUUCAGCAGAGGAGGUGACUAUACAAGACCUCCAGUCUGAGGAGGGGUUACAAUAUAAGUCCACAACAGCAGCUAUGGAGUCAUCUUCGAUAGUACCCCAGUUUGAGGAGGGUACAACUCAGGUAUCACAUCAGGCUCCCUCAACUCCAGAACCAUCCAUAGAGCAUCAUGCACAGGAUCCUCAGCCUCUCAGUUCAACAAAUAUUGACUCAUCUUUUGAUUCUACACACACCUCGAUUGUGCCUAUUAUUAAGGUAAAAAUGAGGUGGUAUGUUGUAAGGAUACCGAUAAUUUAUGAGUUUAAUAGCUUAAUUACUGAGGAAGGUCAACCUACAAGGUCUAUUUGGGAUGAGAGGAUAAUUGAGUUAAUAGAGGUAGUAAAAGCACCAAACCUGAGUUAGCAGAGAUAGCAAGAGCACCAAACUUGGGGAUCGCAUUUGAUUAAUAUCAGCUGAGGUGGAUAACUAGACCCUAAGGUUUUUAUAGUUAGGCGGUGGUCCACGAGUUUGUAAUACCCUAAACUUUAAAGCUUUAGACCCCCUUAAAAGAUAGGCCACAAAGUUAUCUUUCCAAUGCUUCAAGUCUCGCCUUAAUCGUUUGUCAUGGCAAAGAGUUGUGGAAAGUUUCCCCUAAGGACCUAAUACACUGCUAUGACUAUGACAUAGUAAAUGAGUCGUAACCACUCACGAUGAGUCAUCACGAGUGAUUCAUAGUCAUAGCAGUGUGUAACCAAGAUUUCCUCCAGUGGUUACGAGCUGUUGUGUGGACCCAUAACCUGACCAGUAAAGGAUCCAAGAAUCAAGCCUCAGACUGUGACUUCACCCAAUGACUCACAGUCAGUCGUAAUGAGUCAUUAGGAGGAAAGUCCUAUUCAUACUAGAAUGCAUCCAGAAUCCUAAUAUCCUAGGUUGUGACUCAUACAAUGACUCGUAACUAGUCGUGAGGUGAGUCGUAACAACUGGGAAUGUGUUUUGCUGCAUAUUUUUUCAGGGACUUUUAUGUCUUUUCCUACUCCCUUACAAGCCAAACCAAUGUUGUUUUGGCUUCUCAAGGGGAGGUAUAAAAGAUCCAAAGCCCCAAAUUCAUAACAUAAUUUUCAAUUCCACUCAAGCAAAUCAAGAGAGGUGAUUUUCUUUCUCUUUCAAGAGCAAGUUAGGGUUUCUCAAAGAACAAGACAAAUCUCAAGGAUUUCAUCCAAUCUUUUACUUUAGGUUUAUGGGAUAUUCAUCAAUAGGUUCCUUCCACCCAUUGAGUUCUAAUAAUUUAUUAUUUUACAAGUAUAAACCUUUUUUCCCUAAUUGGUGAAAUUUCAUAUUGAUGAUGAAUUCCAUAAAAUUUUCCCUCAAUUGUCUUGAUUCUAAACCAUGAUAAUAUAUUCCCUCUUGAUAAUGGUGCUACCAUAUGUUUGAUAAUGCAAAUGCCCACUUCAUGAAUUGUUAUUGAAAUAUAGGGUGUUAUUCAUAAUUUUCCCAUACUAUGAAUUAUUCAAUAAUUGCCAAGAGUAUUUUACAAUCGAGAGUGUUAGUGGGUUAUGAACACCCGAUAGUUAUAUAGUCAUGCGUGUUAUAAGUUUCCAAGUUACAAGUCAUCCAGAUUAUGUUUAUGUUAUUAUAUUUAUAUUAUUAUCAUGUUGAGCAUUUAACAGUUAAAUCAUGUUAAACUUUCAUUAGUAUUAGUAUCAAUUUAGUUGGGAGUAAAACUCAGCACUAAAUGAACCUAGGGAUGAAGGCUUACAUUCCAGCUUAGGGUGAGGCAUUUAGUAGUAGUCCCUAAGUUCCAAAACUACAUAGCCAGUGUAGGUUAUGAGAGGCCUUCCUACCAGUAUAGAGUUGACACUCUCUUCAGGGUACUUGCCAGUUUAGGGUGACUCUACAGUCCUUCAGGACACUAGUUUAGUGGAUCCACACAGCCAGUGUCAGUACCCAUGGCAAGGUACUGACACCCUUCCAACUAAGGUUAUAGGUCAGACCAUGAUUAGCUUAGAUUGGGUCAUGUCGAUUAAAUGUUAGCUCCCAUAGUUUUAGUUCAGUAUUCAAAUUAUAUUAGUUCAGGUUUGCAUGACCGAUUAUUCAGUUUAUCAAUUGUUUAGUUGUUCUAUUUAUAGAUUAUUUUGGCACAUGCUUUACUUGGUAUUGCAUUUAUCUUACAUGUUCAUGCAUCUAUGUACAGUACUUAUACGUAUUUAAGUUAGUUCCAGCUCAUAUACCAGUACCUUUAAAGUACUGACUGCAUACUAUUUUUUCUUAGGUUUGAAUGCUCAGUUCCUAGACCACGCGUAGUCCAUUUCGAUAUCAGUUGCAGUAUUGGUAAGUCUUCAUAAGUCGAGGACUAGCUCUAUUAUUUAUCAGUCUUUCCAGUAUUUUAGUUUAUGCUAUUUCAGCAGUCAGAGUUAGUUAUCAUGUUUAGAGGCUCUCAGAUAUUCAGAUAAUUAGUUAUGUUUUCAAUGAUGUGUUUUAGACUUCUAAUAUUGACUUGACUAUUUGGAACUUCUAUUAAAUCAAAUUUUUCAUAGUAUUUUGAUACUUUCUUCUAGUAAUUACAAUUUUUCCAGUUCAUGGGUUAGCUUAAGGUCAUAUAUGGUCUUAGGCAUUAUGUUACGACUAGGGGAUAGUACCGAUUCAUGAUAGAUUUCCACGUGUCUUAUGUCGCCACAGUUGAUUUGACCACUCCUAGAGGCAGAAGAGGCACAGCACAGCCCAAGCUAGAGUCUACUUUGGUAAGAGGGGUUAAGGUUUAUCUUUCAGCGGCAGCCAUCCACUGAGUUUUUUAGGCCUGAUUAUGUAGCCCCGGUAUCUACUGCUAAGUGUGACCACAGGCUAAUAUUUACGCAGGAUAGAAAAGAAAUGAGGGAUGCAUAUCAUAGGAAACGGAGACUAGAUUUUUCAAGAUAGAUUACAAACUUGAUUUCUAAUUUGGGAGAUAACGCCUCCUGAAUUUAGGGAAAGGGGGAGAUUAAGAAGGAAACACUGAAUUUUGUCAUGAAGUUUUUCUGGACCGUGGUUCAUUUUUUAUUAUGUUCAAAUAUUGUAGACAAUCUAUUAACAUAAGACUGAGUUGCAUUGAUCAUGAGUUUGAUAGAAGGUUAUGAGAUCGACUUUGCAAUUUUUACCAGGUAUGAGUUUGCACUACAGAGCAUUUAGGGAUUUAACCAUAAUGCCUUUAUCAUACCUCAUUCAGUAGUUAUGUAUUGAGUUAAGAUUUCCUGAGAUCUUGAAUAUUCAUAGGAGGUUAGAGGUGAUGAGCAUUGUAUAAAUGAGUAUGAUUAAGGAUUCGGCAAACUCAUCCCUUGCCUAAAGAGCUCAUGCACCUCCGAUAGUGAUUUUGACCCAGUCUGAUAGAACCUCAAUUCUGGUAAAUCAUGUUGAUCGGACGAAUAUGGAUGUUGAUGAUGCAAGAGUUUACUUUGAGUUUGAGAUAGGUGAGCAUAGAGAUGUACCCAAGAUGAGUACUUAGAGAGAAAGGCCUAGCCACUUUACUUUAGCCUUGGCUUUUUCUUUUAAGCCAGUUAGGUCCUAUUUUGUGUAUCCUCAUCCUACUACUAUAGCUCCUGCCACAGGUUUGAUAGCAAUGCCAUAGAAGUUUUUACAGCUCAUAGUAGAGCAUCAGGAUAUAACUAAACCUGCUUGCGGAUGUUGAGACUGAGCUUGCAUCUUUAUAUGGGUAGAUCCAGCCUUGGGUCCUGAUUAUAUUAGAGACUACUAAGACUAGGAUAUAAGCUAAACUCUAGGCUGAGAUAUUAGAGUUCACUAUUGAAUUACAUUAACGCAUUGAUUCUUUGAGAGUCGGUGUCAUCUCGGUUCAGAGAUAUUAUAGCUCUUGACCUAGAUAGGGACUUGGAAGGAGGUAGUCACACUACGAGCAGAGGUAUGGUUUUUUACUGAGAGCUAGAUUCUAUCCACUCCUCUAUUUAUCCAAUUAUUUGCUCAGCCUAUACCUCCGUGCAACCCUAUGUGGUUUAAUUUAUUCAUGAAAAAAGAGGAGAUGAUUCCAGCUAUGGGGACCAAGCAAGAUAGGACAGAGGAUCUACAUGAUCCCUCUAUUCUAUUUUAUAAGGCCAUGAAAUGGGACACCCAUUAUUCUAGGGUGUCCACGAUAGAUGAUGUAGUGUGAUGAUUUUCAAUUACGAUAGAUGUAUCUUAUAGUAGUGCCUCGCGUCCACCCCCACCACCACCAAUCGAGAUACCCCCAAAGGGAGACGGGCAUGAAAUAGAUGCCUAGUGCAUCCUAGGUAUGUCCUCAUUCCCUUGAAUCAUAUUAUUAUCAUACACUAGGGACAAUGCGUAGGCUUUUGGUUAUGGAUGGGGUAUACCACAACCGCUAUGGGUUUUUGUUGUCAUUUUUUUUUCCUAUCGGUCACAAUUUAAUUAUGGAACUAACAUGUCUAGGAAGUAUUGUGUUGUGUUUUUGUGUAACUAGGAGAAAAAUGAGUAUCUAAGAAAGUUGAUGUAUUUUGUUUUGAUGUUUGAGAAAAAAUAUUACCCCUUUGAAAUCCCUUUUUAUAGCAUUAGAAUUAGGGACAUAAUAAUCAUAGCUACGAGUUGCAUGAACCAGAUUGGUAGUAGUCUGUGGUGCAACCCUGUGCCAAUUGUGUGUAGGAUGCUUACUAUGUUCCCUUUGUGUGUUGAAUUUAGAACUUGUCCGGUUAGUCUUGCCUAUGUUGUAGGAUAGUCAGUUAGAAAAGGAUCAUAGGAUGUUCUUAGAAUAAGUCCACUUUAAUCUGAAAUGACCUUCCAAAUAUGAAUAAGUAUCCCUUGAUCCCUAUUUUGAUCCUGUAGAGACUAUUUUUCUUAUUCUUAUUCACCUUUCACCUUCCUAUUUUUAUUAUAAUAAACCUAUUUUAGCCUUGGUCCUCCUUGGAUAUUGUACACCUCAACUUAGGCAAAUUGCCUAAGUUGAGGGCGGUUAUCAUAGGGUUGUGUGAUUUGAAGUGGGUAUGAAGAAGGGUAAAUAAGAGAAAAUAAAGUAGGGUUGGGUGUGGUAGAAAAAUUUGAAAAAAAAGAAAGAAAAAUAGAGGAAAAAGAAAACCACACCUAACCUGAAUGAGUUGUAAAAAAGAGAGAAAUAAGGUUGAAAUAAAAUAAAAUUAGUUGAUAAGUGCAUCUCCUAAUAGAGGUGUAGUGCCAAUGAGGCUUAGUCACUAAAUUCCUUUAUUUACCAUACCAUUCCCUAAGCCUACAUUAUUAGCUGAGUAAUGUCCUAUAGUGAUCCUAACCUGACUAUCUGAAAGUUACGGUAAAGAAAAUAAGGGCAAGCCUAUGGUAUUUUAUGCAUAUUUUUGGAAAUUUUUUGUGAGUAUUAGUGUCUCGUGAUCGUCCCUGUAUUAACAUACAUGAUUCUAUUAAGUGAGUGGGACUUCUUUGUUAUGAGGGUACAUAGGUUGUGCUUCUAGCUGCUUAUUUGGCCGGAUAGUGUAACUUGUACAUAUGCAUGAUUGUUUCCUUAUAAUAUAAUGUUAUAUUUUGAUUACUUUGUGCCAUAUUAGUGUGCUUCAUAUAUACACACAGUUGGUUUUGGUGUUAAAUUUGGAAGAGGGUAAUGUUUUUUAUCUAAAUUUGAUGAUUGACUGCCAUAGGUGUCUUAGGUUUAUCUUGGUUAAGCAUUAUCGUGUUGUUUAUUUGUGUUUUAUUGACUAAGGAUAUGCAAAUGCUCUAAGUUGAAUGUGUUGAUGUGUUAUGGUUUCAUAAAACUUUCAAUGCUUAAAAUUAAGAAAAUAUGUUGUUACUUAGGUCAUUUUGUUAGAUAUGAUAUGUUUUGUGUUGUGUUUUGCAGGAAAUCGGGUUUUGGAAGCUAAACAAGAGAAAAAAAGUGAAAAUUGUAAAGUUUUGUACCACCUACGUGGGUAUCUAUGGCCCAUAGGUAGGUACUACCUACGUGGCAUAGGUGCCAGAACAAGUAUCAAGGAGUUGAUUUUUAGAGAUUCAGAAGUUGAGAUUUAGCCUUGCUACCUAUGAGGUACCUACGGCUUAUAGGUGACACUUAUGGCCCGUAGGUGCCAAAAUAAGUGUCAGAAGUAAGGAUUCAGAGAGAUCCUUCUGAAGUUUUGGAGGUUUUCACCUACGUAAGUCCACUUACGGACUGUAGGUGGGACCUAAGGCUCGUAAGUGGCACAGUAGGUGUCCACCUACUCCAGUUUUCCUCUUUUGUUUUGAAAAGAUUUCC
rnacentral:lncRNA from 1 species